AUGCUAGACGCGCUUCCGACGCGUGAUGAUGACGACACGCAUAGAAAUAGAACUAGGUGGAAUGACGCGUACAACUUUUUAUGGAAACACAAGAGACAUUACUUAAAAAAAUCUGUUGUCGUAAAUAGCUUUGAUAAGGGAGGUCUUAACUUUCUUGACUUCGCUUCUUUAAAUAAUACGUUUAAGAUCAAUUGGUUGAGGCAAUUUCUGACUGAUUCUGAUUCCAUAUGGAACACUAUUCCUAACUAUAUCUUUUCUAAAGUCGGUGGUCUUCCCUUUCUCUUAGUAUGUAACUACAAUAUUUCUAAAUUGCCCAUCAAAUUAUCAAAUUUCCAUAAACAGAUGUUUUUGGCUUGGCAUUUAAUUUACAAACAUAAUUUUAGUCCCCACAGGUAUUUUAUUUGGAAUAACCAUGAUAUCCGAUAUAAAAAUAAAACUCUUUUUUUUCCAGAUUGGUUUACUAACAAUAUUCUUUUGGUUUCUCAACUUUUAAAUUCAAAUGGUCUUUUGUUUUCUUAUUCUGAAUUUUUAGCUAAAUAUUGUAUUCCUGUCACCCCACGAGACUUUGCUAUAGUGAUGGAUGCUAUCCCUAGUGGAGCUAUUGCUCUUUUAAAAAACUCAGGAGACUCUUCACAUUUUUUUACCUCUUGGGCUCAUCUUUUUGAGACAACAAUAGGGAAGGUUUGUUUUUUGUCCAGUCCUUCUCUAAGGAAUAGAAGGAUUAGACAACUCUUUCAGAAUGAUAUCAUCACUGUCCCUUCUGUAAUAUCUUAUUGGAGUAAUUGUUUUAAUAAUAUUCCUUGGAAGAAAGUGUGGUCUUUACCCAACAAAUAUUUAAUCACUAAUAAGGUUAAAGAGGUUUCAUUUAAGUUGUUAUACCGUUUCUACCCUGUCAAUCUUUAUAUCCAAAAAAUGUUUCCUGAGAAGGAUUCUCUAUGCUCUUUUUGUGGGGCAGAAGAUGAGUCUAUCCCUCACCUUUUCUGGGAGUGUGUUCAUGUAGCUAUUUUUUGGAAGAAAUUUUGUUUAUUUAUACAUGCUUCUUUUUUUGAAAAUUUUUCUUUGACAUUUAAGGAUGUAUUAUUUGGAUUAUAUAACUCCGAUAAAAAUCUAAAAGACAAGUACUUUCUUAUAAAUCUAUUUAUUUUUCUUGCCAAGUUUUUUAUACAUAAGUGUAAAUUUUUGUCUCUUAAACCUCUUUUUAUUAUUUUUUGUCAAGAUUUGAAAUGUUAUUUGGGCACUAUUUCCUCUUCCAGCAGUGUCAAAGCCCUAAAGUCCAAUUCGUUGUGCACGAAGUAUAAUAUUUAUGCCUUUUUAUGAUGUUCAAAGAAGAAGGAAAGGGAAAGGAAAAAAGGAAGAGAAAAAAAAAAAAAAAAAAAAAAGGACCCUUCUCUUCUUUUUUCAGUAUAAUUUAAGUUAUAUUACCUCUGGCUCAUAGGUUUUUUUUUUAAUUAUUAUUAUUUUUAUUUAUUUAUUUAUUUUUUGUUUGUUUGUUUUCUCCAUUGUUCAUAUAUUUACUUAUUUUCUCGUUUGUUUCCUUACUGUUUUUGUGUUUGCUUAUAAUUCUAUUGUUGUUAAAUUCCUUGAACUGUAAUUUUUGUCUUUAUAUGUCAAUAAAAAAAUAAAAAAAAGAAUGACGCGUACAUAUUUUAUAUUUUCAUAAAAAUAAAAUGCAGUCCUUAUAAAAUCAGUCAACAUAUUUGACAUCGCUAAUUGAUAAUCUAGUUUAAAUUUGAUGUAUUUGAUAGUUUACACGAUGUGUAACUUUUAUCGGACUAUUAUUUCCUGCAGAUUUUCUCCACUCACGUGAUUGAUUUGUACUCAGUUUUAAUUAUGUUGGGGAAAAAUAACUUGUUUGGUUUUGAUAAUACGGGACCCUGAAAAUCAAAUUAUAGUUCACCCAAAAUCAAAAUGUUAUCAUUAUUCACCCUUCGCCGGAAGUUUGAUUGACAGGCGAUCUGACCAAUCAGAACGCUGAUAUUAUGCGCCCCCCCCCCACCCCCACCCCCGUGAAUGCCCGCCAUUUUGUCCGACAAACAAACCAGUCCGACAAAGCAGGUGUAGUAGACUAACAUCGGCGAUGAAAAAUGGUGAAAAGGUGCUCGUAUUGGACUUGCAAAGCGGACAGCAGGUACCCAGAAAGGCUGUGGAACAUACAGUUUCACCCGUUUCCUAAACCUGCAACAAACCUGGAAAAGUGUAUGAAGUGGAUACGUUUGUGUGGACGGCCUCAGCAACUUAGUUUGGACAAGCUGAGGAAUCAUUCAACAGCCAAACACUUCUAUGUGUGUUCAAAGCACUUCGUUGACGGCCGACCGACACCCGCUCAUCCUGAUCCUCUGCCAGCAUUGAAAUGUGACCGUAGUAACGUUACACCAGUGAGACGUCCGCCAAAGUUGCGAACAGUGUCAGUGCCAGCAAGGAAAAGACGAGUUGACAGCAUGCCAGACAAUGCUGAAACCAGCAGAGUCAGGUGUGAUCUACAAGGCGUUUCCAUGGAUAUUACAGGAAAGAUGGCAACAGAAUCAUUAAUGGAGGAUACCACUACAGAGGAGAGCACUAUAUUCAUUGAUAUAGAGUACAUAGCUGACUAAGCCCAAAUGGGAGAAAAACAGGAGGAACUGAAGGCUCUCCUCGCUCAAAAAUAAAAAGAAAAUGAUCUGCUAAGG